AUCGUACCCCAAACCGACACAGGUGGUCAGGUAGAGAAUACCAAGGCGCUUGAGAGAACUCGGGUGAAGGAACUAGGCAAAAUGGUGCCGUAACUUCGGGAGAAGGCACGCUGAUACGUAGGUGAAGCGACUUGCUCGUGGAGCUGAAAUCAGUCGAAGAUACCAGCUGGCUGCAACUGUUUAUUAAAAACACAGCACUGUGCAAACACGAAAGUGGACGUAUACGGUGUGACGCCUGCCCGGUGCCGGAAGGUUAAUUGAUGGG
rnacentral:rRNA from 1 species